rnacentral:rRNA from 1 species
AGUGGCGGACGGGUGAGUAACACGUAGGAAUCUACCCCUGGGUGGGGAAUAACAGUUCGAAAGGGCUGCUAAUUCCGCAUGAGAUCUGUAAAGAUAAAAGGGAGGGAACUCUCGCCUGGGGAGGAGCCUGCGGCCGAUUAGCUAGUUGGUAGGGUAAAGGCCUACCAAGGCGAAGAUCGGUAGCUGGUCUGAGAGGACGAUCAGCCACACUGGAACUGACACACGGUCCAGACUCCUACGGGAGGCAGCAGGGAGGAAUAUUGCACAAUGGGGGAAACCCAGAUGCAGCAACGCCGCGUGAGUGAAGAAGGCCUUCGGGUCGUAAAGCUCUUUUCUGAGGGAUGAGGAAGGACAGUACCUUGGGAAUAAGUCUCGGCUAACUACGUGCCAGCAGCCGCGGUAAUACGUAGGAGGCGAGCGUUAUCCGGAUUUAUUGGGCGUAAAGGGCAAGUAGGCGGUUAGACAAGUUGGGUGUGACAUCUCCCGGCUCAACUGGGAGGGGCCAUUCAAGACUGUCUGACUGGAGGGCAGGAGAGGGGGGCGGAAUUCCUAGUGUAGCGGUGGAAUGCUCAGAUAUUAGGAAGAACACCAGUGGCGAAGGCGGCCUUCUGGCCUGCACCUGACGCUGAGAGGCGAAAGCUAGGGGAGCGAACGGGCUUAGAUACCCCGGUAGUCCUAGCUGUAAACGUUGGGUACUGGG